rnacentral:rRNA from 1 species
UCCUACGGGGGGCAGCAGUGGGGAAUAUUGCACAAUGGGGGAAACCCUGAUGCAGCGACGCCGCGUGAGUGAAGAAGUAUCUCGGUACGUAAAGCUCUAUCAGCAGGGAAGAAAAUGACGGUACCUGACUAAGAAGCCCCGGCUAACUACGUGCCAGCAGCCGCGGUAAUACGUAGGGGGCAAGCGUUGUCCGGAAUUACUGGGCGUAAAGGGAGCGUAGGCGGCCUGGUAAGUCAGAUGUGAAAUACCCGUGCUUAACAUGGGGGGAGCAUCUGAUACUGUCAGGCUUGAGUGCAGGAGAGGAA